AUAGGUUAAUGAGGCGAACCGGGGGAACUGAAACAUCUAAGUACCCCGAGGAAAAGAAAUCAACCGAGAUUCCCCCAGUAGCGGCGAGCGAACGGGGAGGAGCCCAGAGCCUGAAUCAGCAUGUGUGUUAGUGGAAGCGUCUGGAAAGGCGCGCGAUACAGGGUGACAGCCCCGUACACAAAAGCGCAUAUGCUGUGAGCUCGAUGAGUAGGGCGGGACACGUGGUAUCCUGUCUGAAUAUGGGGGGACCAUCCUCCAAGGCUAAAUACUCCUGACUGACCGAUAGUGAACCAGUACCGUGAGGGAAAGGCGAAAAGAACCCCGGCGAGGGGAGUGAAACAGAACCUGAAACCGU
rnacentral:rRNA from 2 species